AUUGAACGCUGGAGGCAGGCCUAACACAUGCAAGUCGAACGAGUGGCGGACGGGUGAGUAAUGUCUGGGAAACUGCCUGAUGGAGGGGAAUAACUACUGGAAACGGUAGCUAAUACCGCAUACCAUCAGAUGUGCCACGAUGGGAUUAGCUAGUUGGUGGGGUAACGUCUCACCAAGGCGACGAUCCCUAGCUGGUCGGAGCGGAUGACCAGCCACACUGGAACUUAGACACGGUCCAGACUCCUACGGGAGGCUGCAGUGGGUAAUAUUGCACAAUGGGCUCAAGCCUGAUGCAGCCCUGCCGCGUGUAUGAAGAAGGCCUUCGGGUUGUAAAGUACUUUCAGCUGGGAGGCGUUACCCGCAGAAGAAGCCCCGUCUAACUCCGUGCCAGCAGCCGCGGUAAUAC
rnacentral:rRNA from 1 species